AGCAAGUUAUAUGUUUCAGAGGUUUAUAGAGGGUAGCGUGUGGAAAUGGAUUUCAACAGACAUGGGUCACGCUUGUGAAUUCCAUAAGUAAACGAAACCACGUCAGGACAAUGUAAGUUAUGUUCAAUUCGUUUAUUUGAUUGAUACAAGUCUAACGUUUGAUUAUGUUUUUUAUGAACUUUUCCCUUUUCAAAAUUUACCCUAGAGUUCGUUACUUCUGUAUAUUUCCUGGUGGAAAAACAAUGUACAUUGACAUUCUGCUGUUUACAUGUUGUAAUGUACUAUUAUAUUAUUUAUGUAUUUGUCUGUGUAUUAGUGUUCUUAUUUUAGAUUGUACUGUACUUAUGUCAUGGGUUGUCUUUCUAGUGGCAUUUUUAAAAUUUCCAUAUAAGCGGGAGGAUUGGCUAGCAAUAACACCAGUUUCCAUUCCCCAUUUUUUUCUUAAAACGUAAACGUUAAAUGUACCAAAUAAACUCAUAAUAGAUAACGGUAUUGAAAGUCAGGAAUAUGUCAGUUGUUAUCUGCAAUAUGUUUGUAAGGAUGUUUGCGUUUGCGUAUGUUUUAGUUUUGAGUUUCUAUUGUUAUAAUAGAUGAUGUGUUUCCUUCAGCUUAAGUUUGUUACCCGGAUUUGCUUUUGUUGAUUUCAAAUAUCACUAUUAAACAGGGGUAACUAUUGUCUGUACUUGAAGAUCAGCUUUAGUACAGGUUGUCAGUAAUAAUAUCUACAGAAUUAAACUAAAACUAUUUUCAUUUGUCUUUUAAAAAAAAGAAUGCAAAUAUUUGAGAUAUUAUAUUUCAUAUUAACCAGAUUAUCAUCUAUUACUCAAUGAUAUGAGAUAGUUGAGACAGAACAAAGAAGCAGUCAUAUGAUCAUCAUCUUCAAAAUCUUCCUUUCGCAUUACUUUUCCUUUUAUACUAAUGUUAUUUAUAUUUGCAUGACGAUUCGGAUUUAGGGAUCGUCAAUAGUCUUAACCUUUGUAAUUUAUUUUGCCUUUUCAUCGUGUGAUAUGAGAGCUUCGCUGUUGAUGCGUUGGUAGACAAACACACGUAUUGUGUACAUAAUGUUAAGCCUUGUAAUUAUAAUGAGUAUAUACUUGUAACUAUUAUAUCAUAUAAAGAAAAUAAGACGACUCAAUAAAACGAUCUAAAGAAAUCCGUCGAUUUUAAGUUUUAUAAAAGAAAGACCGUUUUAACACACAGAGUAGUUCAGUGAAAAUUAAAUUGAUAAUGGAUAAUUUCAAUAUUAUGAACAGACAAUCAUAGAAAAUUUCACAUACAGCCCGGCGUUCAAUAAAAGUAACAGUAGUAAACCGCUGUUCAAUAGUCAUACAUCGAUUAAGCAAGAACUUAUGUAGACGAAACGCGCGUCUGGCGUACUCAAUUAUAAUCCUGGUACCUUUGAUAGCUAUUAAGGUGUAAUACCACCAAAUCAUGGUACGUCACAUCCGGUUGUACGAAAGCAGGUCUAAAAAUAUAUUCCCUUGAAUUUGACAGUUGUAGAAAAUUAACCCUGCAUUUCAAUGCACUUAAAUUUUUCUGAGUCAUAAACAUGUAUGUUGGGUGUCUAAAAGCAUCAUUCUUUUUUUUAUUUGAUGGUCAAAUAUUUUGGAUAGUUAAGGUUACAAAGACGAAGCUAUAUUCAGUUUAUAGUGUUAGGUUUUCUUUAGACAGAAAAAAAAGAUCAUUGUAUGGUCACAGAUUUCCAUACAAGUUGCACACAAAGAAAUUUGACCUAUCAGAGGAAGUUGGUGUGUCUCAUCUGUGUCAUCAGAAGAGAUGCAUCAACCCUGAGCACUUGUCUUUCGAGCCGCCUCGUAUCAACCAAGACCGCCAAGUUUGUCGUGAUACACACCCAACAAGGUGUCGAAAACACAAACCCUACCAAGACUGUUUAAUUUAAAAUGGUAAUCAAAUAAUGGUUUUAAAGAGAAGUCUUGUUUCUUCUUCAUAUAAUUUAUGAAAUACACUUUUGAAUCCACAUAUAUAUAUUACAUUGAGACUUUUUUUGCUAUGCUAAUCCCUAUUUUUCUUGAGCCUCUGUGUAAAAUUUUAAAUCACCCUUACAAUUUUGUUUAUACAACACGUGAUUUUUCAUUUCAGUGUAAACCAUGUACUGAAGAGCAUUCUGUUGAAAAAGCUUAUAUGUGAAUUGGUCAGCAGAUGACACUUUAGCAUUGAGGUAUGUAUCAACUAAUGUCAUGUUUUUGUUUUUUUUGUUUAGCCGCAAAAGUUUACAAUUUGCCAUUGUGUCGUCUCCAUUUUGCACCGACAAAACAUCAUCUAAACACUUAUUUGCCUUAGAUUUAUACACAUCAGAAUCCAGUCUAACAUACUUAAAUUUUAUAGUUCUUACCAUUUUUUUUUACCAGCGUUCCAUGGAACAUAACCCUUGUUAAAACCGUUUUGAGGUAUUUUUUUAUUACUCUUUCUCCCCAUUUUCUAAUGAAAAAUUACAAGAAAGUGGACUUUUUGUGUAAAUCCAUUAGAAAUAUACUGUUAUAAGUAAAUAAAAUGACUUUGAUAUCAGUAACAAUAAAUGAUUGACUGAAAGGAAACCGUUAUUAGUUACACUGGGGGAACAGACCAAAAACUCAAGUUACACACAAGGGCUUAUAGAAAAUUCCGUGGAGUCUGUUAACAUUUAUAGAGACAGUUCUUUCAGCUAAAACACUUUAAUUAUUGAUUUAACAUUCCAUUUCUUUCAUUUUUUGAGAAAAUAAUCACAUUUGUUUUCUUUUUUAGACAAAAGAUAUCAAAUUUUGAUGAAAAAAGAAGGAAGAAGGAAAACUGGACCAAAACAGACGUUCAAAUGAACUCUAAAAGGUGCAAUAAAAUUGUUUAUCAUCUUAAAGUUGUCUUUUGUAUCCUAUUUAAUUGUUUGAAUGCAUAGAUCAUGAGUAUAUGAUCAGAUAUUAGUAAACACUGCAUUU
rnacentral:lncRNA from 1 species